UCGAGAAUCUUUCACAAUGGGGGCAACCCUGAUGGAGCGACGCCGCGUGGAGGAUAAGGUCUUCGGAUUGUAAACUCCUGUCAUGCGAGAACAAGGCAUUUGGGUUAAUAGCCCGGGUGUUUGAUGGUACCGCAAGAGGAAGAGACGGCUAACUCUGUGCCAGCAGCCGCGGUAAUACAGAGGUCUCAAGCGUUGUUCGGAAUCACUGGGCGUAAAGGGUGCGUAGGCUGCGCCGUAAGUCAGAUGUGAAAGCUCAGGGCUCAACCCUGAAAUUGCAUCCGAUACUGCGGUGCUAGAGAAAUGAAGGGGAGUCUAGAAUUUUCGGUGUAGCAGUGAAAUGCGUAGAUAUCGAAAGGAAUACCAAAGGCGAAGGCAGGACUCUGGGCAUUUUCUGACGCUC
rnacentral:rRNA from 1 species